AUGACUCAGAUUUAUGAAACUAGGAGAAAAUGGGCGAAUCCUUACUUCAGGGGUGUGUUUUGUGCAAAAAUGACAAGCACACAGUGGAGUGAAAGCGCAAACCACAUGUUGAAAAGCCCAAUGCAUGUUUUUGUGAGGCAGUACAUGCGGUUGCAGUUCGACCGCGAACAUGACGAGAGCUAUGAAGAGAAGAGGACCAUGAUUGGUGGUGUUGUGAGACGUACGAACCUUGCCAUAGAAUGUCAUGCCAGCAGAAUAUAUACUAGGAGUAUGUUUGAGGAAUUUGGGCGCCUUCUAGUUGAAGGAACAGCCUACAAUGUAACUGAAGUUGAGAGGCUAUGGAAGUACAAGACCACUCACAACAAUGCAGAAAAAAGGGAGAAGUGGAGCAGAGUUGAGUAUGAGGUUACCAUAAACGAAGACAAGUCAAUAUUUACAUGUGAAUGUGGCCAAUUCGAGCACACUGGGAUGUUGUGCUGCCACGCGUUGAGGGUGAUGGAGAUCCUGCAUCUUGAGGAGAUACCCCAGCAUCACAUUGUUAAGGGAUGGACAAGAGACGCAAGGGAUAUAUUGCCGGAGCAUUUGGUCCAGUACCAAAAAAGACAACUCAGUUAA
rnacentral:rRNA from 1 species